rnacentral:lncRNA from 1 species
ACAAUCACCUCACCACCACCAUUUUUGUCAUCAUUGCCACCUUAGGAAAAUGAGUAAUGUUUAUACAUAUAAUCUUUUGCAUUUUCUCAUCUCUCUUCUGUUUGGACCACAAGAAAAACCACCCCAGAAACUUUAAUAGUGCUUCAGAAGAUGACCCUGAGUCUUGGUUACCAUCAAAUUACAUUAUAUCUACGAAGUGGUGUCUGCAGAUAAGGCUUGCAAAGCACCAUCAGGACAAGGUGAAUUUACCCCCCUAUUCCUUCCUCAACAGAGAAGCCUUUCUCGGUGUUCCCACAGAAAUGAACCUUUCAUUCUAUUCAUCAAUAAUAAAAGAAGUGUCUGUUUCCCUGCUUCUCACAGUAAUGUAAACAAUGGUGAAACCACCCAUCUGUCUUGGGUUUGGGUGGAGAGCAAUUGAAUUGUCAGGUAUUUCAAUCCCCUGAAGAUCUGCUUCUCUGACUUAGCUUCUACACUUCUCUGAGUCUCAGACUUAGCACUCAGGCACCACAAGGGUCAUUGUGUGACAUGAGCUUCAAGGGUUCAGUGACAAAACUGAGAAGUUUUUCAAUAAUUCUAUCACAGAAACAUUUCCCAAAUCCUCUGGAAUUGAUUCUCAAUAAAAUCUAGGUCUCUAGCCCUCAAAAGUGUAAAGAGACUUUAAAAGGGAAAGUUUCCUUUCCUAUGGCCCACCAAUACCAUUUUAAAGGUAUUGUUUACCCAUUAACUGUGCUAGACUGAGAAAAUAUAGAGUAAGAUUAGGCCCAAUAUUGGCUGAAAAUUCAGGUAGGUUCUUUGAGAUACUAAGUUGUCAUGCAUUUGGACAUAGUAGUAAGAAAAGCUAGCCCAGAAAAGAAAACUAAUUUUU